CUAUGUUUUAAAACAGCACCUUUCCAAAAGAAACCAUGUCUUUCUCUGCAAUAUUUAAAAAAAAAUUGUAUUUGGUAAAUCAGGUUUUAAUGAAACACACAUUUUCAUCAGCUUAAUAAUUAAGAAGGCAAAAUAUCAUUUAGUGUUUCAAAACCAGAUAAAAUUAUUUACCAAUCAAAAAUUAUUGAAUGUUGACAUUAAAAAUAAUCUUAUCAACAAUAUCAUUUAAUUUUCUGUACCAUUCCCUCCUUCAAACACUCCUUUUUGUUUCCAGGAAUUCACAUCUCUCUCAUGCAGCCUUUACAGAAUGGCUUCUCUCACUUAGUAAUGUGCAUUUAAGAGUUCCUCCAUGUCUUUUCAGGGUAAAUACCAGGGAGCAUGAUGUCUGGAUCUGAUGGUGAGAAUGUUUGGUGUUGUGAGAAACUGCCAGAUGUCUUCCCGAAUGGUUGUACCAUUGUGCAUUCCCACCAGCAAAUUGUAAGUAUUCCUACUGCUCUAUAUCCUCACCAACUUUUGGUCUUGUCAGUGUUCCCAAUUUUGACCAUUCUAACAGGUAUAUUCUAGUAGUUGUAUCUCACUGUUAACUUGAAUUUGUAUUUGUCUUAUAACAUAUGAUGUAGAAUACCUUUACAUAUGCUUAUUUGUCAUAUGUGCAUGUUCUUUGAUGAGGUGUCUGUUAAGGUUUGGUCUGUUUUUGUUUUUUAAAUCAGGUUGUUUGCUUUCUUCUUGUGGAGUUUGAAGUGUUCUUUGCAUAUUUUGGAUAAUUGUCCUUUAUCAGAUGCGUCUUUUGCAAAUAUUUUCUCCGAGUCUGUCGCUGAUGUUCUCAUUCUCUUAAUACUGUGUCACAAAAAAGUUCUUAAAUAUAAUUAAGUGCAGCUGUAGCUUAUCAGUGAUUUGUUUCAUAGAUCAUACCUUUGAUGUUGUAUCCUAAAAUGUUACAGAUACACCCAAGGUUGUCCAGGUUUCUCCUAUAUUAUCUCUUAUGAUUUCUAUAGUUUUGUGUUUUACAUUUAGGUUCUGUGAUCCAUUUUGAGUUAAUUUUUGUGAAGCGUGAAAGGUCUGUGUCUAGAUUUGCUUACUUAUUUUAUGCAUGUGGAUGGCCAGUUGUUUGAUACUGUUUGUCAAAAUGACCAUUUUUGCUCCAUUGUGUUGCCUUUGCUCUUUUGUGAAUGAUCAGUGGACUAUAUUUAUGUGGCUCCAUUUCUGGGCUCUUUAUUCUGCUCCAUUGAUCCGUUUGUCUAUCUUUUCACCAAUACCACACUUGCUUGAUUAUUGUAGCUUUAUAGAAAGACUUGAAGUCAGGUAAUGUCUAUUCUCAACUCUAUUCUUCUCCUUCAAAAUUGUAUUGGCUAUUCUGGGUCUCUUGCCUUUCUGUAUAAUUAGUUUAUCAAUAUCCACAAAAUAACUUGCUGGGAUUUUAACUGGGAUAGCAUUAAAUCUAUAAAUCAAAUUGGUAAGAACUGACAUUUUGACAAUAUUGAGUUUUCCUAUCCAUGAACAUUCUAUAUCUCUUCAUUUAUUUAGUUCAUCCUUAAAGUCAUUCAUCAGAGUUUGACAGUCAGUUUCCCACAUAUAAAUCUUGCACAAAUUUUGUUAGAUUUAUAUCUAAGUACUUCAUUUUUAGGUACUGAUAUAAAUAAUAUCUUUUUAAUUUCAAAUUCUACUUGUUCAUUGUGUUUAUUUACAAAACAAUUAAUUUUUGUGUAUUAAUCUUGUAUCCUGCUACCUGGCUAUAAUCCCUUAUCAGUUCCAAGAGUUUUGUUGUCUAUUCUUUUGGAUUUUCUACAUAGAUAAUCAUGAUAUCAGUGAACAAAGAUAGUUUUUUUUUUCUUUUCUCUAUCUGCAUAUCUUUUAUUUCCUGUUCUUGUCUUAUGCAUUGGCUAAAAGUUCCAGUAGGAUAUUGAGAAAGAGUAAUGAGAAAGGACUCCUUGCCUUGUUGGAAAGUUUUUAAUUUCUCACAAACAAGUAUGAUGUUGGUUAUAAGUUUUUUAAGGUAUUCUUUAUCAAAUUGAACAAGUUCCAUUCUAUUCCUAUUUUACUCUUUUUAUUAUGAAAGUGUUUUAGAUUUUGUCAAAUGUUUUUUUCUGCAUGCAUUGGUAUGGCCAUGUGAUUUUCUUUUUUUAGCUUAUUGACACGAUGCAUUGAGUUAAAUGUUAAACCAGUCCUAUAUAUAUGUGGGAUAAAUCCCACUUGGUCAUGGUAUAUAAUUCUCUUAUUACAUUGUUGGAAUGAAUUGGCUGAUAUUCAUUAGGUAAAACAAAAAUUUUAUUAAGUAAAAUAAAAUUUUAGAGUAUAUGACUAUAAUUUUAUUUUCCUUUAUCAAUCAGAGCUCCAGUUACAAUAUCUCUGUUCCUUGAAAUAACAUCCCUACCUUCUACAAGGAGUGCAAGGCCAGGUUCUAGAAAAGGACAUAGAAAAUUAUUCUGAUCCUACUAUCUACAAAGAGACUUGCAUCUACACUGGUAUAAGGAAAUAAUUAUCAAUGGGCUUAGAAAUGUUUCUGCAAGUGAUAAUGUCACUUAGGCCUUUAUCAUAACUUCUUUGGUAUAAAAUUAAUACAAAACUUAUUAUGAAAGUGCAAAGGAAACCAUUCAUGUCAUUUAUUUUAGACCAAGAGUAUAGUGAGAUACCAUGUAUUUACCAAGCGAGAAAAAUAUGUAUUUUAUGCUUGACAAAUUAACUAUAUAUUAUUUAUUUUUAGUUGAGUUAUAGAUUAAAAGCAUGAUUUGCUAGCAGUUUUAAGAACAUUUAGGUAUUGUGUAAAGAGUAACAGUCUAUGACAUACCUAUGUGAUGUAUUGCCAGUUUCAUAUCAAUUAUAUGAAAAGUAAAAUGGUUUACAAUCCAAUGAUCCCCUUCAAGUUCAAGCUCUCAAACUGUGAAUACUGAGGGAAACUUUUUGGCAUGCAGACUUCUUCCACCUCUUCAUAGAUGAAACAUAAAUGUGAACUGGAAGAGCUGUGAUUUUUAGUGCUACACAGAAAGCAUGCACUUUAAAACUUUGCAUGAUAAAAAUACCAAUAUGCCCAAUUUGUGUUGAACAUUUUCAAUAUUUCCUUUUACCAAUCUGAGAUUUUUGCCUAGAUUUCUUUACAAAAAAAAAAAAAACAAAAAAAAACCAUUUGCUUAAUUUACAAAUUCAAAGUAGA